rnacentral:lncRNA from 1 species
UAGGUAUUGUGCUAGAGUAACACAGUAACAGAAGGGAAAACUGAAUAUAUGCAUACAGAUUCCAAUAAGGGGGGAGGUAUGGUAGGGGUGGUGAGUGUUAUUAUUUCAUGAAUGAAGUAGAAAGCAAAGUCAUCUAAGAAUGAGAAUGGGGAAAGAAGUGUUAGAAACUUGAGAAGGUAUGAAAUAAUUUAGGACAUAACCCAGCAAAGUAGAGCUGGGGGCCAAAUCCUGUUUUUUUACAGCCUAUUAGCUAAGGAUAAUUUUUAUAAUUUUAAAUCGUUGAGAAAAAAAUCUAAAAAUGAAUACUAUAUUGUGACACAUAAAGAUUUACAUAAAAGUUCAAAUUCAAUUCAUUUACAUAUUGCCUAUGGCUACUUUCUGCUACACUGGCACAGUAGGUCAGUUGUAAAAAAGACUGCAUGACCUGCAAAGCCUAGAAUACUUAUUAUCUGGCUCUUUACAGAAAAAGUUUGUGGACCUCUGGUCUAGAAUAGGAAGGGGAAUGACUAGGAAAAUAUGAUAUUGGGCAGCUGUAAGGGCCUAAGAGUUAUGGACAUGAAUUUAAGGUAAGACCAGUCACAAUCUUCGACAAAGGAGGCAGGAAUAUGCAAUGGGAAAAAGAUAAUCUCUUCAACAAAUGGUGCUGGAAAACUGGACAGCUACAUGCAAAAGAAUGAAACUAGAUAAUUUUCUUACACUAUAUACAAAAAUAAACUCAAAAUGGGUUAAGGACUGAAAUAUGAGCCCUGAAACUAUAAAAGAAAGUCCUAGAAGAGAGCACAGGCAGUAAUUUCUCUGGCAUUGGGCAUAAUAUCCUUUUUCUAGAUAUGUCUCCUGAAGCAAGGGAAACAAAAACAAAAAUAAACUAUUGGGACUACAUCAAAAUAAAAAACUUCUGCACAGCAAAGGAAACCAUUAACAAAACUAAAUAGUAUGGGAGAAUAUAUUUGCCAAUGACAUAGCCAAUAAAGGGUUAAUAUCCAAAAUUAUAAAGAACUUCUAGAACAUCUGUAAAACAGUCCAAUUAAAAAUGGGCAAAGACAUGAACAGGCAUUUCUCAGAAGACAUACAGAUGACCAACAGACACAUGAAAAGAUGCUCAUUUCAUUCACUCAUCAAUGAAAUGCAAAUCAAAACCACAAUGAGAUAUCACCUCAUUGAAUACCUAAAAUAACUGAAGAAACAACAAACGUUUGCAAGGAUGUGGAAAAAAGGAACCCUUGUGCACUGCUGGUCCGAAUGCAAAUUGGUACAGCCACUGUGGAAAACAGUAUGCAGGUUCUUAAAAAAAUUCAAAAUAGAACUAUCCUAGGAGCCAGUAAUUGUAAUACUGGGUAUUUACCUAAAGAAUACAAAAACAAAUUUGAAGGGAUAUAUGCAGCCCUCUGUUUUUUGCAGCAUUAUUUACAAGAGCCAAACUAUGGAAACAGCCCAAGUGUCCCAUCAACUGAUGGAAUGGAUAAAAAUGCAGUAUGUAUGUAUACACACACAUACACAGAGGAAUAUUAUUCAGCAUUAAAAAAGAACAAAGUCUUUCCAUUUGUAACAACAUGGAUGGAUCUAGAGAAUAUAAAUGCUAAGUAAAAUAAUCCAAUCAGAGAAAGACAAAUACCAUAUGAUUUCACUCAUAUGUGGAAUUUGAGAAACAAAUGAACAAAGGGAAAAAAAAGAGACAAACCAAAAACAGACUUUUAACUAUAGAGAACAAACAGAUGGUUACCAGAGGGGAGGUGGGUGGGGAGAUGAGUGAAAUGGAUGAAGAGGAUUAAGAGCACACUUAUUUUGAUGAGCACUGAGUAAUAUAUGGAACUGUUGAAUCACUAUUGUACACCUGAAACUAAUAUAACAUUGUAUGUUAAUUACACUGGAAUUUUUUAAAAAUAAAAGGUAAAAAGAAAAAAAAUAGAGACCAAUCAGCAUGAUUACUUCACAGUUUAGGCAGAGUAGGCAAAGCGCUGCCUUUAACUAACAUUGUGGUUUUGUGAAGUGAGUGUGACAGAGAGGAGAAAUGGAGUUAAAAGUAUAUACAAGUGUCAUAAUGACUGACCCUGGGACCUAAACUGGUUAUGAAGGGAGGAGAGGAACUCAGGGAAGGUAGGGACAAUGAAAGGGGGUAGUCAAAGGAGUGCUGGAAUCAAGUUACUAGGAGAUGGCUAGAAGAUAGAAGGUGAUGGUCAGACAAUGAGAUACAUCAGCCUGACCUUAUGGAAGGGUUAGUUUUUGGAAAUAAAAUCAAAGGUAUGACCACAGGAAUGAAUGCAGGCAAUAGGAGAGCAUAAAAUAGGUGGAACGCUGUUAUUCAAGGAACGAAUAUGUCAGGCUGUUGACCAAUAUGUUAUUCUGUUAUUCGCUGUUAUUCAAGGAACCAAUAUGUUGAUCAGCUGUUGAAAGGAUCAUCCAUGUAUGUAAAUUAACCAUCAAUAAUUAAAUAAGGAGUAGUGUUGUGGGGAGUGAAAUGAGCCAAGACCUAAAGUUUUUGAGAAAUGAGAGUGAAUGACCCAUGGGCUUGUAGAUUUUGUAGAUGACAGCAAUGAAGGGAAAUAAGUAAUACAACCUGAUGGCAUGAGACUCAAAGCUGGGGAGUUUUAAGGGAAGACAAAGGGAGAAAUGUCGGGAAACAGUGAUAAAAGGAAGAGCAUCUACUUCCAACUCUUGACCGGUAAUAGGACUGUGAAAGAAAAAAAUCACCUUGAGAGGGCUGAAGUGAAAGCAUUGUCCUAAGAGAAGAUGCAGGGACAGAAAUGUCGGACUCUUCAGAAUACUCAACUUUAAAUUCCCAUUUUCAGUGAGAUGUCUCCUCCCAACUCCCAGCUGUUCUUGGGGGUUCCAACUAAUUCAGCUUCUCCAGAGGAUGAAGGAAUGAACAAAUGAAUGAGUGAGGAUCUGAGGUCUAACUUACUUUAUAGUCUUAAGUAAUCAUCAUGUUUUUAGCCCUCCACCCCUGCCACUUGCUAUUCAGAUAACUGAUGUCUCCAAUUCCUCACUCAGUCUUUUCUGGGGUUCUGUGGUAUACAUUUGCUUAUUAUUAUUGUCACCCCACCUCUAGGCCCUACUCCCCAUUAGGUUUCUGCUUCCUCUGUACUGCUCCAAUAGUUGUUGCUUGUCUUUUACUUUCCAGAUGCAAAGAUUUUGUUGAGGGCAGCCCCGGUGCGCAGUGGUUUAGCGCCACCUGCAGCCUGAGGUGUGAUCCUGGAGACCUGGGAUAGAGUCCCACGUCGGGUUCCCUGCGGGGAGCCUGCUUCUCCCUCUGCCUGUGUCUCUGCCUCUCUCUCUCUGUGUCUCUAUGAAUAAAUAAAAUCUUAAAAAAAAAAAAAAAGAUUUUGUUGACACUGUUUGAGUGCUAUUAUCUUUUCUCCCAUGUUUUUUGUCCUCAUUGAUUUAUGUCAUUUAGUAUUCCUUUACUGUCAUUUUUAUGGGGUUUCAGGAGGAUGCUGUAUUUUUAGUCCACCAUUUUUAAUAAGAUGUUGCCAACACAACUUUUGUUAAGGUGUCAGACAUGUCUGACUGGCUCACUCCUCCUAGGAUGUUUCUCAGUCCCACCCUCCAGGCUUUGGUAUACAGACAGAGCUGAAUCGCAAUGGUGGAAUCAACUUAGGCUGAUACUGGGAUUCUCACUUUGUUUUUGUUUCCCUUUAAUCGUCACUCUUUUCAAUUCCUGCCCUUCCCCUCCCCCCUUACCUGCUGAUACCGAGACUAUUUCUGAAAUCCUACUCUCCACAGGGUAUACCCAGCUGGUCUCUCUAGCUACCCUUCCUCAGAGCUUAGAACUGGCCCCCUUCACACACCCUGUGGUCUUUACUGGUCUUUAUGAGAACUGUUCACUUUAAUAUACUUUCUAUUCUCCAUUGGUUCGUAUAUACCACAGAGAAAUUAUUAUGAACUCAGACAUGUUGGAAAGUUUCUGUAGAACUUUCAAAGAAGAUUAAUUACUUUUUCAUAUGAUCAGCCCCAGCACCAAUAAAAUUCUCAUGUCUUUACCCAUUUUCAAAAUAAGUAAGAUGGGAACCACUGUAGCAGCUCCCCAAGUACAAGGUCAUCCAGUGUAUCCAAUUCAUAACAGGAGUCCAGCAAUUCAUAACAGAAUCCCAAAACAUUCCACCUGUUUGUCACAUGAUGAAAGCAAAGUUAAAUUCCUGUUAUCUAGGCUCACAGUAUAGAUGAUUUCUUUUUCUCCUCCCUUUACCCUCCAGGUGUCUCCUCUGGCAAACACAAGUAUCUCUACUAGGUCAACCAUACUCCCUUUCCCAAUCUAUUUCUCCUGUUCCAGGCAACUGGCAUGGUUUGACUAAGUCAACAUUGAAGUAUGUGAUCUUCCUAGAGAGCUAGGUUUUCUGUAUUAAUUAAAAAUUUGUAGGCUACUCUGGGUCUAGUAAGAGCAUGCUUAAAUUUAAUUCCCCUCUCUGAUUUUGGUGGCUGUGAUUUGCUGGUUAGAGGCACAGGUCUAGGAAAGAGUGUGAUAAAGGUGCUGGAAAGAAAGAACAAAGCUGUAGUCACCAGGCUACUCAAACCUUUGGAUAAAUCACUACUAAAAAAUCAGAUAAAGACCCAUUUUUCUCCAUUCUGGUCAGGCAUCUGGCAGUCCCAGUCUUCCAGAACAUACCAUGACCCAUGAAUAAAAGCAUCUUUAAGAAAACAGUUGUCACAAUGCCCAUAUGCUUGACACCAUGUGAGAAACAGCUGUCACUGGCCAGACAAAUAAGACAGUAGCAUAUAAUAGCUCAGAAUGCACUAAUGUUGGAAGGAAGAAAUGGCAGCUGCCAGAGGAGUCCAAGCUAUAACACAAACUAGUUUAUCUCUGCUUUCUGGUUCCAUGAGAACAGUUACUUGCAAACCUUCAAAUCUGGGUAAAAAGAUCAUAAUUUAAGUCCAAAUUAAUGAGUCUGUAGUGUUGGCAGUGAGUCAACAAGAGACUGCAUUUGAUUCACAAUGCCAUUUAAUAAAGAUGUCUUAAAAUCGAAGAAUUUUAGCAUUAGAAAUUGCUUUGGAGGUCUCCUUAUCCCACCUACCCAAUACCAAAAUUUUUCACUAUUUUGCUAAGAAAUGAUCAUCCCAUCUUUCACUUCCAGUGAAAGAAAAUUUAGAGACAAUUCAUUUAAUUGUGCUAAAUGGAUUUAUCUUGAUACCACUCUGAACCUAAGCUUUUUCUUCUGCAAAACUAUGAGCAAUACUAACUUCUUUGCAGGAGUUAGCAUAGUCCCUGGUUCAUAGUAGAUGCUUCCCUCCAAUUGACCCAGGAUACGUAUGCUUCUCUGCAAUCUCCACCUACUGGAAAUGCUUGCCUUCUGGUGCCAGGAAGAACACUUUCCAUGACAGCUCUGAAGACAAUAAUCAUAUUAUCACUGCCCUUUUCUAGAUACUCCACAAACUGUAUACAUGUCCCUGUCUUACAAAUGACAUCUAUACACGGAGUCCUUGAUA